GGGGAUGGAGGGCCUUCAAGGUCGGGAGGUGCGCUGAUGCCUGUCGGAAAAGGUGGCCGAAGAAGGACUCUCUAACGAGGUGCUGGGAUAUCCAUGGGAAGGGAGCUGGAGCUCUCAGGAAUCUUGUCUUUAUGUUUGCUUCCUCAAUUGAGCUGCACAAAGCCUGAAUUGCCCAUUCAGCGCAGCCGGACAAAAGGUUGGCGUUGCACGGUCCCCUUGCAUUUGUAGUCAAACAGUUAGGGACUUAAAUCGAGUCGUCAUGAUGGAGAAAGAGGUGGACAAAGCCCAUAGAAUUGCCAUCAGCAAACAUUUUCCUGUGUCAUAUUAGCCAGUUUCCAUGGCUCCCCCUGGCCUGCAGACAAUGGGACAAGUUUGCACACUUGGCUACUGUCACCGUGCCAACGCCGGCGGGGCUGCAAGCAGGGCCGCUCUGAGCAAGCAAGGGAGCCCAGAGCCACUGUUGGCCCUGCCCACCAACUGGCCAGAGGGAAGGUGAGGCUGAAGGCGAGGGCGGCCGCCUGGGAAAUGCUAAUGGUCGUGCCUCCGUGCCAGCCCAGCUCACGGGCCCCUUUCACGCCUCGUCAUUUUUCUGCCCAGGCUCAGCCUCCUCUUCCCUCCUCCUCUCCUUCCCCUUCCUUUUCUCUUCCCCUUCUACUGCCUUCUCCUUCUGUCUCCCUCACCAGCCAGAUGGCUGGUGGUCUGUGCGCCAACCCACACCUCCGUACUACAACCUAAGAUUUGGCAUCUUAGGUUGCAGGACUCCUCCCUGGAGUCUCCCUACCCAGACUGGGGGCAUUGGCAGGGCAGGGCCAGGGCCUCCAUCCAGGAGUAAUGGCCCCGCUCCUUCCCACUGGCCAAUAGAUAGCUGCUGUGGCCUGACUCCAAGCCAUCUCCCCUACCCCUGGCCUGAGGGUCCUUACAGGCAAAAUGAAGGGUUUGGAGGAGAUGGCCCGGUGCUGACAAGCUGUGACUCAGUUUAGGCCUUGAAAGCCAGCACUGUAUUCUCCAUGCCCCUACCCUGCUGCGGGGUCGGGGAAGUGUGGACCGAGAUGGAAGUGCCGCUGGACUGACGCAUCCUAGAUUGUCGGCCACUACGCGCCCUGGAGGGUUGCUCCUGCCUGCGGCAACCUUUGCAUGGGCCUUCUGUGAUUUGUGUGGGCUGCAUCAUUCCUCUCUCCAGAAGAUCUUCUCUCUUCUAACGGCGUCAAGACAUUUCAGAGCCACUCAGCUCAGCUCCCAGCUUCCUUGAGAUUCCACGGCACCUGCAGCCCUGCUGGCCCAUUCUGCACUGCCCGCUCGUGAAGCUGUCUCUCCUUUCUUAGCCAGUAGUAAGCCUCCCCACCAGGCCCGUGGACUCCGUGGGAGGUGAGCUCCAGAAGGGAAGGGAGCUCGUUCACAGCUUUCUCUCUCUGUAUCUCCUGUGACUUGAAUGGACUCAGCACACAGCAGGCCUGAGUGAAGGAUGCUUGUGGUUGCUAUGGCUUACAUGACAACGAAUUGUCUGUGAUCCUACAGGACUAUGGCACAUGAAAGCUGGAAGCGCUUCUUUCCGACUGCAUCGCCCAGCACCAGAGCCCGAGUUCUGUAAAGCUCUGUUAAAGGCACAUGAGCUGUGCUGGCUUCAACUGCCCUGAACUUGGAUAAGCUGGGCCGCUGAUGGACCCUUCCCAACCAGUUGUUGCUGCCUUGGUUUCCCGACAGUCCACUGUGCUGACCCUGCCGCAGGGACUCCCAGCUUUGCAUCAACUCCAUUCAACACCUACUGUGUGCAGGGACCAGAGGGUGUGGAGGUGGCAUUCCCUGCUUUAUCUUGAUAAGUAAACGUUUGUCUCCUGCCCACUCAUCAGUGAAGCAGAACAACUACCUAGCAGUCUCCUGGGAGCCACCCCUCCAGAACCUCUGGAUGUCAACAGACACCAUCUACUUAUAGGAUUCAGCCAGCACAUGUGUAGACUGGAGCUGCAAGUGAGAAGAGGCAUCUGGCAGGGCAUGCACAGGCCAAGCCUUAGGGACCCGAGGAGCUCAUCUGGGGCAGUGGGUUUUCAAAUUGCUUUGAAGCAGAGAUGCCCAUUUAAAAAUAUGUGGAGAUUUAGCCAGGCACGGUGGCUCACGCCUGUAAUCCCAGCACUUUGGGAGGCCGACACGGAUGGAUCUCCUGAGGUCAGGAGUUCGAGACCAGCCUGGCCAACGUGAUGAAACCCCGUCUCUACUAAAAACACAAAAAUUAGCUAGGUGUGGUGGCGGGCGCCUGUAAUCCCAGCUACUCGGGAGGCUGAGGCAGGAGAAUCAUUUGAACCCAGAAGGCAGAUGUUGCAGUCAGCUGAGAUUGUGCCAUUGCACUCCAGCCUGGGGGACAAGAGUGAGACUUCAUCUCAAAAAAAAAAAAAAUGUGGAGAUUCAACGUGUAAAACCAUGACAACUGUGGGCUAUGAGUACAACUUUAUUUUCCAUGCUCAAAUGCAUACCUUCUACUUAUUUGCAAACAAUGCAUUAGAACAAGGAGUCUGUUCUGAUGAUAUAAAACUUUGAAAUCAGGAGAUAUGGAUUAUGGUCUCACAGCAGCCAUCAGCCGUACUUUGUUUUGGUUGCAGAACAUUUACAAAAUCUCGGUUUAGAGAGAGAAGCAGUUGAGAUGUCAACUUUUUAAAAAAGUUUAUCUUUUAAUUAAUUUAUUUUUUGAGAUAGAGUCUCGCUCUGUCACCCAGGCUCUAGUGCAAUGGUGCGAUCUCGGCUCACUGCAACCUCUGCCUCCCAGGUUCAAGUGAUUCUCCUGCCUCAGCCUCCUGAGUAGUUGGGAUUACAGACGCGUGCCACCACCCCUGGCUAAUUUUUGUAUUUUUAGUAGAGACAGGGUUUCACCAUGUUGGCCAGGCUGGUCUCAAACUCCUGACCUCAGGUGAUCUGCCUGCCUCAGCCUCCCAAAGUGCUGGGAUUACAGCUUUCAGCUGCCACGCCCGGCCUAAAAAAGCUUCUCUUAUGAUCUUAGGAUGGUCAUCAAAUGAAAGGAGUCCCUGGAGAAACUAUUACCUGGUCCCCACAGGAGUUAACCUGACUGCCCAAGUUCACCAGUCGGCAGCCUAGUGUGUCACCUUAAAAUUCAGUUCCAAAAGAUGGGCUGACUUCUCAUUUUAGAGAUGAAGACAGAGAGGCCCAGAGAGGGGCAGAGAUUCAUCCAAGGCAAAGCCAGGCAGAGCCAGGUAGGAGAAGCACCUGGGAGGGAGCUCUGCUCUGCCGGCCACCCUGUGCUGUUUCUCACACCUCAUCAUAUGAGUGUAAAGUCCUACUUGAUGGAAAUAUGUGUCAUAUAUUGUCAUUUGUUCUUCCCAGUUGCCAUGGUUACUCUCUUUAAUGGAUGAGGAAGUUGAGGCACAAAUUGGGCUAGGAAACUUGCUGAAGGUCCCAUGGGCAGUAAAUGACAAAGCUAGGGUGGGAGUGAUCCUAAGAUGCUGCUCUCACCGACAACUGUGAACCAAUGUGAGGGCCCCGUCUUCCUCCCAGGGGCCUUGCUAGCCCAGGGCUGCAGACUCUUCCUAGCCACCCCUGCCCUGGAGAGUUAGGCCCGACCGACCACACCAGCUCGGGGAACAUAACAAAGGCCACGCGGAGGACAGAGUGGCCCGGCAGCGCCUCUGUGGACAUGCGACGCAGACAUCACAAGAUGAUUUAUGUAACCUCUUACAUAAUGGCAGCAUUUCUAUCAAAGACCAGCCCGCGGCAGGCUGUCAGCUGUAAUCUGAGUGGACGUGCUUCUUGCUUCCUGGGAACAGGAGGCACCAGGUCAAAGCCAACCCCUUUGGCUGCCAGGCCGAGGGCUUCCUGCGCUGGUGAAGUUGCCUGGUGUGGCUGUGCCCUCAGAGGAGGCAGAGACCUUGUAAUGCCCCAGAGUAGUCACAGCCCGGCUCAGCCAGCCCCAGCACCCCUGGCUGCAGUCCACCUCCAGUGACAGAGACCACUAUCCAUGUGAUCAAGUCCCACAUUGGAAGUGCUUUCAACCAUAUUAUUGUACCAUGAAAGGGAGACUGGCUUCAGAGAUAAGAUCUUUGAACUCUGCCCCUACCUGGCUGUGUGAUCUUGAGGUAGUCACUCACCCUCUCUGGGCCUCAGUUUCCUGGUUGAAUUACAUCAUCAAUGCUUGACCUCUGUGCUGCACACAUGGGUAUUGAUACGGUGCUAUCAUGUGAUAUGGUGCUAUAUGAUAGCGUGCCACAAGUCGGUGCUACUUAUAUUUGGCAAAUGAUUUGGUUUUUCCUAGUAUAAAUCCGAGCAGAUUCAACAUCAUAAAAUCAGGUAAGCCCACUUACACUCCCCUGUGCAUUCUUGAAAGGGAUAUGAAUGAGUGGGGUUAGAGCUGGUGAGUCUGAGGACUCAAGCCCUAGGAGAAGAGGAGAGCUCAGCCCAUCUUCACCAU